rnacentral:rRNA from 1 species
AAUGAACGCUGGCGGCGUGCCUAACACAUGCAAGUCGGAUGUGCCGCAAGGUGCAUGGCAGACGGGUGAGUAACGCGUGGGGAACCUACCUCUUCGUGGGGAAUAACGAUCCGAAAGGAUUGGUAAUACCGCAUGAGACCGACGGCUGGGAUGCUGUCGGUGAAAGCUGGGGACCGGAAACGGCCUGGCGCGAGGAGAGGGUCCUGCGUCUGAUUAGCUAGUUGGUGGGGUAACGGCCUACCAAGGCAUCGAUCAGUAGCCGGCCUGAGAGGGUGAUCGGCCACACUGGAACUGAGACACGGUCCAGACUCCUACGGGAGGCAGCAGUGGGAAUUUGCGCAAUGGACGAAGUCUGACGCA